AUUGAACGCUGGCGGCAGGCCUAACACAUGCAAGUCGAGCGGAUGAAGGGAGCUUGCUCCUGGAUUCAGCGGCGGACGGGUGAGUAAUGCCUAGGAAUCUGCCUGGUAGUGGGGGAUAACGUCCGUAAACGGGCGCUAAUACCGCAUACGUCCUGAGGGAGAAAGUGGGGGAUCUUCGGACCUCACGCUAUCAGAUGAGCCUAGGUCGGAUUAGCUAGUUGGUGGGGUAAAGGCCUACCAAGGCGACGAUCCGUAACUGGUCUGAGAGGAUGAUCAGUCACACUGGAACUGAGACACGGUCCAGACUCCUACGGGAGGCAGCAAUGGGGAAUAUUGGACAAUGGGCGAAAGCCUGAUCCAGCCAUGCCGCGUGUGUGAAGAAGGUCUUCGGAUUGUAAAGCACUUUAAGUUGGGAGGAAGGGCAGUAAGUUAAUACCUUGCUGUUUUGACGUUACCAACAGAAUAAGCACCGGCUAACUUCGUG
rnacentral:rRNA from 1 species